UACGUAGGGUGCAAGCGCUAAUCGGAAUUACUGGGCGUAAAGCGUGCGCAGGCGGUUUCGUAAGUCUGUCGUGAAAUCCCCGGGCUUAACCUGGGAAUGGCGAUGGAGACUGCGAGGCUAGAGUUUGGCAGAGGGGGGUAGAAUUCCACGUGUAGCAGUGAAAUGCGUAGAGAUGUGGAGGAACACCGAUGGCGAAGGCAGCCCCCUGGGUCAAAACUGACGCUCAUGCACGAAAGCGUGGGGAGCAAACGGG
rnacentral:rRNA from 1 species